AACGAACGCUGGCGGCAGGCUUAACACAUGCAAGUCGAACGCCCCGCAAGGGGAGUGGCAGACGGGUGAGUAACGCGUGGGAAUCUACCGUGCCCUGCGGAAUAGCUCCGGGAAACUGGAAUUAAUACCGCAUACGCCCUACGGGGGAAAGAUUUAUCGGGGUAUGAUGAGCCCGCGUUGGAUUAGCUAGUUGGUGGGGUAAAGGCCUACCAAGGCGACGAUCCAUAGCUGGUCUGAGAGGAUGAUCAGCCACAUUGGGACUGAGACACGGCCCAAACUCCUACGGGAGGCAGCAGUGGGGAAUAUUGGACAAUGGGCGCAAGCCUGAUCCAGCCAUGCCGCGUGAGUGAUGAAGGCCUUAGGGUUGUAAAGCUCUUUCACCGGAGAAGAUAAUGACGGUAGUCGGAGAAGAAGCCCCGGCUAACUUCGUGCCAGCCGCCGCCGUAAUAC
rnacentral:rRNA from 1 species